rnacentral:rRNA from 1 species
UUGAGUUCAAAGAANUACGUGAAACCGUGUGAGAGUAAACGGGUGGUUCCCGAAAGUACNAAAGGGGAGAUUCAGGUCUCGCCGCGCGUCGGGCGGCGUCCGCGAACUGAGAUGGGGUCCACGCGGCCAGGGGGCGACCCUUGGUCUCGCGGGGGGGCGACCCUUGGUCUCGCGGGGGCUCCACUCCGCGGGCGUCUUCUUUCCCGGCGCCGGAGCGACGCACUUCUCCCCCAUGUAGAACGUCGCGACCCGUCGGUCGCCGGCCUAAGGCCCCGGGCGGAGCCUCGCGUCUCUCGGGAUUCUUUUGCGAGACCCCGGGGAUCCCGGCCGGGUGCCCGACGGAAGGAAGAGAGGAAGGAGUCGACGCGCC